GUCGCGACAGCCAGUGCAACCACAUACUGUUGGUUCAGGGGAUUCUCCGAAACAGGGUAAUAAGGGUGUGUGUCGAAAUUCCAACACUGCAGGCAGUGAAAGUCAGACACAAGACUCUAUACCAGCUGCAAGGCCCAGGCGAGUCUGUAAAUCUCCUAACUUGUAUGGGGAAUGGCUCAUGGGAACCUUGGUACCGUCCAAUUCUGGAGCUGAGGUCUACGUCUAGAUACUCAGAGCAGUGGGAGAAUGUCGUGGUGGACAAAGUUUACUUCAAAUUGUGAAAUUAAUAUUUAAUCUCUACAGCUACUUGUGUGUAUUACCUUAUGGUUUACCAUUAAAUAAGUAGAAACUGCAGCAUAAUUGUAAUUUACAUUCAAUUAUAAAGUAAAAGAUUAAUAUUCACAUCAGGAAAGCUUUGUUCCACAUGGCAGAGGAGAAAAUCUCUAAGUAGUUAUGGAAUAUAUAAUUAUAUUACCUUGGGACACUGGCCAAGGUGAUAAUUUCAUUUUAUACAGAUGUUAAUUUUAGAUUUUUCAUUCUAUAGUGUUAUAUGAGCAGUUAUCUUGUAUUCCUCGUAGGUAGGGAUUGCCCCAAUCACUUGGAUAUUAGAUAAUUAGCUGCUCAUUCUUUUAUAUUAUUAGUAGAUUCAACCAUUGUGGUUGAUAUAUUAGUUUAAAUGCCAGGAGUCAUUUUCCUUUGCAGGGGAGAAUGUCACGGUGGUCAAACUUUAAUAGUCUGACCAACACCUGUACAUGUAAAGUGUGUAUAGAUACUUGCGCUGUGUAUCGUGUAUAAUGUUUGUACAAGUCCCCGUGUCAUAUAAUGUCCUAUGUACCUGUGUAUAUAGUUGUUAUGGUGACGUAUGAGAGGUGAGCGCAAGGAUUGGUUGAGUGUGUCACUUUGACCCUGCAUGACCCUAUACCCGUGCACGUGGAAAACUUUACCUGGGCCUUGCCCAGGUGAGUGCAGCCACAACGGCUAUAGACCCUGCACCAACAUACACGUCUGGUAUAAGCCUGUGUGCUUUACGGCCACAGUGCUUCUAGGUCACUGUCUCCGUGUGUGUGUCUGUGUUUAUGUUAAAUAAACUGUGCUUCAUUU